AUUGAACGCUGGCGGAAUGCUUUACACAUGCAAGUCGAGCGGCAGCACGGGGGCAACCCUGGUGGCGAGCGGCGAACGGGUGAGUAAUACAUCGGAACAUGCCCAGUCGUGGGGGAUAACACUUCGAAAGAAGUGCUAAUACCGCAUACGUCCGGAGGGAGAAAGCGGGGGAUCUUCGGACCUCGCGCGAGUGGAGUGGCCGAUGUCAGAUUAGCUAGUUGGUGGGGUAAAGGCCUACCAAGGCAACGAUCUGUAGCUGGUCUGAGAGGAUGAUCAGCCACACUGGGACUGAGACACGGCCCAGACUCCUACGGGAGGCAGCAGUGGGGAAUUUUGGACAAUGGGGGCAACCCUGAUCCAGCCAUUCCGCGUGAGUGAAGAAGGCCUUCGGGUUGUAAAGCUCUUUCGGCAGGAACGAAACGGCGAGCUCUAACAUAGCUUGCUAAUGACGGUACCUGAAGAAGAAGCACCGGCUAACUACGUGCCAGCCGCCGCAGUAACAC
rnacentral:rRNA from 1 species